rnacentral:rRNA from 1 species
GACGAACGCUGGCGGCGUGCUUAACACAUGCAAGUCGAACGGAAAGGCCCUGCUUUUGUGGGGUGCUUGAGUGGCGAACGGGUGAGUAACACGUGAGUAACCUGCCCUUGACUUUGGGAUAACUUCAGGAAACUGGGGCUAAUACCGGAUAGGAGCUCCUGCUGCAUGGUGUGGGUUGGAAAGUUUCGGCGGUUGGGGAUGGGCUCGCGGCUUAUCAGCUUGUUGGUGGGGUAGUGGCUUACCAAGGCUUUGACGGGUAGCCGGCCUGAGAGGGUGACCGGCGACAUUGGGACUGAGAGACGGACCAGAGUGCAACGGGAGGCAGCAGUGGGGAAUAUUGCACAAUGGGCGGAAGCGUGAUGAAGAAACGCCGCGUGCGGGAUGACGGCCUUCGGGUUGUAAACAGCUUUAGCAUGUGACGAAGCGUGAGUGACGGUAAUGGGUAAAGAAGCACCGGCUAACUACGUG